rnacentral:rRNA from 1 species
CCAAUGGAACUCAUGGUGUAGUAGUGAAAUGCGUUGAUAUCAUGAGGAACACCUAAGGCGAAGGCAUUUGGUUGGCACUUUUCUGACGCUGAGUCGCGAAAGCGUGGGUAGCGAAUGGGAUUAGAUACCCCAGUAGUCCACGCUGUAAACUUUGCAUACUAGAUGUGAGGAGUAUCGACCCUUCUCGUGUCGUAGCUAACGCGUUAAGUAUGCCGCCUGGGAAGUACGAGCGCAAGCUUAAAACUCAAAGGAAUAGACGGGGAUCCGCACAAGUGGUGGAGCAUGUGGUUUAAUUCGACGAUAAGCGAGGAACCUCACCAGGGCUUGAAACUAUACUGCAUUAUGUAGAAAUACAUAAGCCUUCGAGGGUGUAUAGCAGGCGCUGCAUGGUUGUCGUCAGCUCGUGCCGUAAGGUGUUCCGUUAAGUCGGGUAACGAGCGCAACCCCUGUCGUGUGUUAUAUAUGUCACGCGAGACUGCCCAGACUGAAACGCACUUCGUGCUUAAUUUUCAAUUAUCAAUUUUAAAUUUUCAUUCAAUUUUCAAUGAUUUAAUUUUCAAUUUAGAAAUUUAGAUAUUAGAAUAUUGUUUAGAAAUUAGAAAUUAGAAAUUAGAAAUUGAGUGCUUAGUAAAGCGCGUUGCAGUCUGGGAGGAAGGAGGGGAUGACGUCAAAUCAGCAUGGCCCUUUGACGCCCUGGGCGACACACGUGCUACAAUGGCCGGUACAAUGGGUUGCCAAACCGCGAGGUGGAGCUAAUCCCAAAAAGCCGGUCUCAGUUCGGAUUGGAGUCUGCAACUCGACUCCAUGAAGCUGGAAUCACUAGUAAUCGGGAAUCAGCCACGUCCCGGUGAAUACGUUCUCGGAUCUUGUACUCACCGCCCGUCACACCAAGAGAGUCGGUAACACCCGAAGACCCCGCAUCAAACCGGGGGCUACGGUGGGAUCGAUGAUAAGGGUGAAGUCGUAACAAGGCAUCGGUAGCGGAAGCUGUCGAUGGAUCACCUCCUU